UUCCAGACUCCUACGGGAGGCAGCAGUGGGGAAUAUUGCACAAUGGGGGGAACCCUGAUGCAGCGACGCCGCGUGGGUGAAGGAGAACCUCGGUGCGUAAAGCCCUAUCGGCAGGGAAGAAACAGACGGUACCUAACUAAGAAGCCCCGGCUAACUACGUGCCAGCAGCCGCGGUAAUACGUAGGGGGCAAGCGUUAUCCGGAUUCACUGGGUGUAAAGGGAGCGUAGACGGCGACGCAAGUCUGGAGUGAAAGCCCGGGGCCCAACCCCGGGACUGCUCUGGAAACUGCGGCGCUGGAGUACGGGAGGGGCAGGCGGAAUUCCUGGUGUAGCGGUGAAAUGCGUAGAUAUCAGGAGGAACACCGGCGGCGAAGGCGGCCUGCUGGACCGUGACUGACGUUGAGGCUCGAGAGCGUGGGGAGCAAACGGGAUUAGAUACCCCCGUAU
rnacentral:rRNA from 1 species